UACGUAGGGCGCAAGCGUUGUCCGGAAUUAUUGGGCGUAAAGAGCUCGUAGGCGGCCAGUUGCGUCCGCUGUGAAAUCCCGGGGCUUAACCCCGGGCGUGCAGUGGAUACGGGCUGGCUAGAGGCAGGCAGGGGAGAACGGAAUUCCCGGUGUAGCGGUGAAAUGCGCAGAGUAUCGGGAGGAACACCGGUGGCGAAGGCGGUUCUCUGGGCCUGUACUGACGCUGAGGAGCGAAAGCGUGGGGAGCGAACAGG
rnacentral:rRNA from 1 species